GAUGAACGCUGGCGGCGUGCCUAAUACAUGCAAGUCGAGCGAAUGGAUUAAGAGCUUGCUCUUAUGAAGUUAGCGGCGGACGGGUGAGUAACACGUGGGUAACCUGCCCAUAAGACUGGGAUAACUCCGGGAAACCGGGGCUAAUACCGGAUAACAUUUUGAACCGCAUGGUUCGAAAUUGAAAGGCGGCUUCGGCUGUCACUUAGGGAUGGACCCGCGUCGCAUUAGCUAGUUGGCGAGGUAACGGCUCACCAAGGCAACGAUGCGUAGCCGACCUGAGAGGGUGAUCGGCCACACUGGGACUGAGACACGGCCCAGACUCCUACGGGAGGCAGCAGUAGGGAAUCUUCCGCAAUGGACGAAGGUCUGACGGAGCAACGCCGCGUGAGUGAUGAAGGCUUUCGGGUCGUAAAACUCUGUUGUUAGGGAAGAACAAGUGCUAGUUGAAUAAGCUGGCACCUUGACGGUACCUAACCAGAAAGCCACGGCUAACUACGUGCCAGCCGCCGCCGUAA
rnacentral:rRNA from 1 species